GGAAAAUAUUAAUGAUCUACUGGAGAUCAGAAAAAGAGUUCUGCCCUGGAACAAAGUGAAAUAUCUAUCUAAUCAUAUCUGUGUGUUAUUGCUGAUUCUGUGCUAACAUUUUGUCUUGUUUGUUUCUGGUCUAAUCUUUUCACACUACUACUACUGGACCAAUGACUGCUGAUGUCUUCUGAACUUCUGCUUCUGAUAUAAUGUGCUCCUCCACAGAGCGCAGCCUGUGUCAGUGUGUCCAGCAGACUGCAGCAGAGAGCAGAGCCGCACAAAUGGAUGAACAGGUGGUCUCUGACUCAGGAUGGAUUAUCAUCAUCAAAUGCCUGCAUGCUGAUCCUAUAUUGGAGUGGGGAGAGGAGAGUGUUUACUCACAUUCAGCCUUCAUGCAGAAUCAAACACAAUCACGAUGGAGAUUGUACACAUCUAUGGAGAGGAGAGGAUGAUGUCCGCUCACAGUGUUGUAGUCUUUAUGGUGGACACUUCCUUGUUUUCAGAUAGUAACAUCAAAUAUUGCAUUGUAUGUUUUGCUGUUGCAGUUUGUAAAUGUAGUAUUUGAGCACACAUCUCUUCAGAUGAUGGAAAAGGCUAAAGCUUAUUUGUGCACAGUGAUACAUCCAGAUGCUCAGCCUCCUUAAUGACAGUACAUCAGCAUUAUGCUGUGACCUAAUUCUAUACUUCUAAAACUAUAAAGUAAAUACUGUGCACUACUUACAGAGUUCAAACUAGACUUUAUUAUUUUUAGGAUAAUGCCAAUAUUUAUAUUUGGAAUUUGGAAAAUGAACUUAAACACAUCUUUGACAUUUCAGCCUCAACUUUAUUAUUUAUCCAUCGGACAUUUGUUUUGCAGAGCGGCGUUAUACACAUGAAUCACAGGGCGCAUACUGAUGAUAUUAAACGGCAAUAAUCUAUCAUAUAAUCUAAAUAUAUAUAAUAUAUAAUAUACAGCAGAUCAAAUCAAACACUUCUAUCUUUCGGGAUAAAGGUGUAAAGUUAAGCUGAUGACAAAUAUAAAGCCAAAUGGAGUGCAGUUGUAGGUAAGAUGAAGUACAAGUGUGCAAGUUACAUUAAGAGAUUCCUUUCAAUGGCUGCAGGAAUAAACUACAGUUACCACCUUGCGGUUGUAAGCCACUGCCAAGAAGUCAAGUUGCAGUUUGUUCAAUCAAUGAAAGGGUCCAAAUAUAUGUUGCUAUAGGAACAAUUAUCGAUGUAUGUAUCCUGCAACACUGUGCUGUGUUCUCCUAAAAUCAAUGGUCAUGUGUUUGGUUUUUGUCCAUUUAUGCUGAGUUAAGACUUAUUGAACUUUGCUGAAAGAUUCACAUGAAUUCAUCUGAAUUUGUCACGAACACAAUCAAACACAGUGCGAUGUGUCGGGAAAUGUGUUAGUGCCUAGCUCCAGAAUGCAACCAACAAAAAGAACAUACAUAUAGGUAUACAUAGGUACAUAUAUCAUAUACACGGCUGGUGGAUAAAUCAUGAGGUAUAAAUGAUGUGUAUGGAUGAGUGUCCGUCAUUGAUGGACUUAAUAUAUUCAGUGGCUUUUUGCUGAUGAUGUAAUGCAGGGUCGACAGCAACACAUGGACCUCUUCCUUUUCGGCCCAAAUACUGUGUGACGGAAGAACAAAGAGGGUCACAUUAGUGACAGGAUGAAGGAUACCCUGACCGUGCCAUGAAGACACAGUGCCCUGAGACCCAUUAUCUUUGUGUACUGUACUGUAAUGUCACAAAGAAUGAGAACUUUGUGUGAUAAAAUAAGGCAUGCAGUUCUGUU
ensembl:lncRNA